rnacentral:rRNA from 1 species
AUUGAACGCUGGCGGCACGCCUAACACAUGCAAGUCGAGCGGUAACAUGAUUAGUAGCAAUACUAAUUGAUGACGAGCGGCGGACGGGUGAGGAACACGUAGGAACCUGCCAAAGAGAGGGGGAUAACUAAUGGAAACGUUAGCUAAUACCGCAUAAUCUCGAGAGAGCAAAGCUGCCGCAAGGUGGCGCUAUUAGAGGGGCCUGCGUCCGAGUAGUUAGUUGGUGAGGUAAAGGCUCACCAAGACGAUGAUCGGUAACUGGUCUGAGAGGACGACCAGUCACACUGGGACUGAGACACGGCCCAGACUCCGACGGGAGGCAGCAGUGGGGAAUCUUGGACAAUGGGGGCAACCCUGAUCCAGCGAUGCCGCGUGAGUGAAGAAGGCCCUCGGGUCGUAAAGCUCUUUAGGCUGGGAAGAAGGUUGGUAGAGGAAAUGCUAUCAAUUUGACGGUACCAGCAGAAUAAGCACCGGCAAACUCUGUGCCAGCCGCCGCCGUAA